rnacentral:rRNA from 1 species
CGGCACCUCAAGUGGUCAGGAUGAUUAUUGGGCCUAAAGCAUCCGUAGCCGGCUCUGUAAGUUUUCGGUUAAAUCUGUAUGCUCAACAUACAGGCUGCCGGGAAUACUGCAGAGCUGGGGAGUGGGAGAGGUAGACGGUACUCGGUAGGAAGGGGUAAAAUCCUUUGAUCUAUUGAUGACCACCUGUGGCGAAGGCGGUCUACCAGAACACGUCCGACGGUGAGGGAUGAAAGCUGGGGGAGCAAACCGGAUUAGAGACCCGAGUAGUCC